rnacentral:rRNA from 1 species
CAGAACGUCGUGAGACAGUUCGGUCCCUAUCUGUUGUGGGCGUAGGAAAAUUGAGGAGAUCUGACACUAGUACGAGAGGACCGUGUUGGACAGACCUCUGGUGUAUCAGUUGUUUCGUCAGGAGCACAGCUGAGUAGCUAAGUCUGGCAAGGAUAAGCGCUGAAAGCAUCUAAGUGCGAAGCCAACUUCAAGAUAAGUUUUCCAUGAGGGUCGUCAAAGACGAUGACGUAGAUAGGUCGCAGGUGUAAAGUCGGUAACGGCUGUAGCCGAGCGAAACUAAUUACCCGACACUUUUGCGCCG